UGGGGAAUAUUGGACAAUGGGCGAAAGCCUGAUCCAGCCAUGCCGCGUGUGUGAAGAAGGUCUUCGGAUUGUAAAGCACUUUAAGUUGGGAGGAAGGGCAGUUACCUAAUACGUGAUUGUUUUGACGUUACCGACAGAAUAAGCACCGGCUAACUCUGUGCCAGCAGCCGCGGUAAUACAGAGGUUGCAAGCGUUAAUCGGAAUUACUGGGCGUAAAGCGCGCGUAGGUGGUUUGUUAAGUUGGAUGUGAAAUCCCCGGGCUCAACCUGGGAACUGCAUUCAAAACUGACUGACUAGAGUAUGGUAGAGGGUGGUGGAAUUUCCUGUGUAGCGGUGAAAUGCGUAGAUAUAGGAAGGAACACCAGUGGCGAAGGCGACCACCUGGACUAAUACUGACACUGAGGUGCGAAAGCGUGGGGAGCAAACA
rnacentral:rRNA from 1 species